rnacentral:lncRNA from 1 species
CUCACUAUUAAGUCGGCUAAUUUUCCAAAACCCCCUCAGCUGAAGCACACCUUGCCAAAAUCUCAAUUUCUUGAUCUGGAACCUCGUCCAGUCGCUCCAUGGCAGCGCCUUAGGUCAAUACGUCGACGGCAGCCGCACUUGGUCGUCCGCGUCGAACGACUCCACUGCCCAGUGAUCGUUUCGAAGGUGACUGCGCUUGGCUUGCCACCUCAUCCGUUCGCCUCAAACUGCUCCACAGCGACGUGAUCCUUUCGACGGCCUCGGCGAGAUCCACCACGUUUGGCCAAACUCCUAGACGGCCCGCCUUCUUGUCGGUUCCCAACGCCGAGUAGGCCGCCGACCGCAACCUGCACACGAUCGACUACAUGCGCCCACAUCCAGCGGUUGCUCCUCCACCUGACGGCGUACACCUGCUGCAAGCGGGAGUCGUGUGGCUGGCAACUCUUGCAUAGCAAACAAGGAGCACGUCUUUGGAUUUAUUGUUCCUGUUCACUGUUUGUAGUACUUGGGUACUUGCAGAUUGUAGGUUAUGAGCCAAUCCAUCUAAUUGUUCUCUAUUGAGUGUGUGUGUAGCUUCAGAGUUCGGAAUUUGAACUGUACAUUGCUACUGAGUAUAGUGUCCAGAGACAAGUGGAUUUACUAUUUUGUGCAUGGAAAAUUAGAAAUAAACAAAUUUUGUAUUGCCUAGUUCUUGGUAUUUUGAGGUCCU